GAUGUUUUCGUGGGGAUUGUGGCCUAAUAUAUUAGAAGGUGGGGAGAUAUGAAACAUAGAUAAUUGAAAUUAUUUAAAUCACCAACUGCAAUUUCUUCCCUAUAAUUUUAAUCUCUUUUCAUCCAAAAACUUUAAAAUAACUAAGUUUUCUAGAAAUUAUUAGACUGUAUUGAUUUCACAGUCAUUUUCUUUCUGUCAUCCAUAAUUUGGUAAACAUCCAAAGAGUGAUGGAAUAAAUAAAAGUGGAAAAGAUAAAGAGGCAUACAUUUCAGGCUUCUUAUUAUAAAUACUUGAGAUUUAUUCCUGCGUAUUUGAGUUUCUGUCUUUUGUGCAACUAAUCUGAUCCCAGGAAAUAACUGAGCUGGAAAUUAAGCACUAGCACUAGCUAACAGUGAUUUCAGACCAGUGACUUCCCAGUUGUGGGGGAAGUUUCUCAUUUAUGAAAUGAAGGGAUUGGAUUAGAUGAUAUUUAAGGUCACUUUCUACUCUUUAUUUAUUUAUUUUUAUUUAUUUUUUAAUUUUUUUGUCUUUUUGCCAUUUCUUGGGCCACUCCUGCAGCAUAUGGAGGUUCCCAGGCUAGGGUCAAAUUGGAGCUGUAGCCGCCGGCCUAUGCCAGAGCCACAGCAACGCGGGAUCUGAGCCGUGUCUGCAACCUACACCACAGCUCACGGCAACGCCGGAUCAUCAACCCACUGAGCAAGGACAGGGAUCGAACCCGCAACCUCAUGGUUCCUAGUUGGAUUCGUUAACCACUGCACCACGACGGGGACUCCCCACUUUCUACUCCUUAAACAUUCCGAAAAGUUUCAAUUAAAAAGAAACAAACAUUAAAAUGAAAUGACCCCUUAAGGUCUAGGAUUUACCCUAAACCUUUAUUUUUACAUGAAAAGUAAAAGAAUCUGUAAGCUCUAUUGGGAAUCUUAAGGGGGGCACAUAAAACCAUUCAAAGUAAAUACUUUCAGAGAGACUCUUAACAGGAGAGCAACAAUGGCAAAUGCCAUCUGAUUAGUGACUUGAUUUCUGAACACAGUUUGGGUAACUGAUACUUACAAGGAACAGAAAGCUCACUGUAGGUAGAAAUAGCUGUUGAAAUGUUCCCUAAACUAAAUACAACUUGGAGAUGAAAACUUGUAAAUUAAGAUUGAAACAAUCUAUAUACAGUUUAAUCUUUUUGUUUUUUAAGCUUCAGUUUAUAAAAUUGAGAAACUAUUUAUAGACCACUCUUUUACUUAAAAGCUAAAUCACUAAAUA
rnacentral:lncRNA from 1 species